AGCCCUCUGUAUCCGUGCGGAGAUUUCGUCGGAGAUCAACCCGUUGGCACUAGCUGAUGGUACUUCCCAAAUAAGUGGAGCG
rfam:Trichobilharzia regenti genome assembly, scaffold: TRE_scaffold0013546